AUGGGAAUAUAAGGGCGUAUGGUGGAUGCCUAGACACAACAAAGCGAUGAAGGACGCAGCAUAGCGGCGAUACGCUUCGGGGAGAUGCUAAGCAAUCUUUGAUCCGGAGAUUUCCGAAUGGGGAAACCCUACAGACUUGAUCUGUAAUCUUGGUUUUAACCAAGAUGCGCACCCAGGGAAGUAAAACAUUUCAGUACCUGGAGGAACAGAAAACAAUCUCGCAAGAGAACCAUUAUCUUAGUAGCGGCGAGCGAAAAGGUAGGAGCCCAAACCGAGCUUUCCAAUGGAAGGCAGCAUCUAUUUAUUUAGAAGCUGCACUCCAUUGGGUAGCUCGGGGUUGUAAGGUGGCGAUAGAACAUUUAUGUUCAAAGAGUUACAAAAUAUUCCGUUAACAGAACGAGCUGGGAAGCUCGGCCCAAGUGGGUAAUAGCCCCGUAUGUGAAAACGAAAUAUCUCUUAUCGCUAUUCUUGAGUACUUCGAGACACGUGUAGCUCGGAGGAAUCCGCCGGAACUAACCGGCAAGGCUAAAUAUUUGUUGUGAUCGAUAGUGAACUAGUACCGUGAGGGAAAGGUGAAAAGCAGCCCGGUAAGGGCAGUGAAAUAGACCUGAAACCAUAUGCCUACAAGGAGUCGGAGCGGAAAUUUAUUUCCGUCACGGCGUGCCUAUUGAAGAAUGAGCCAACGAGUUGAUACAUGCUGCAGGCUAAGUCCGCGAGGAUGGAGCCAUAGGGAAACCGAGUGUUAAUAGCGCGAACGUAGUACGUAUCAGACCCGAAGCCAAAGCGAGCUUGCCAUGAGCAGGGUGAAGUUUGUCGAAAGACAGAUGGAGGCCCGAACCCGUAUGUCGUGCAACGCAUUGGGAUGACUUGUGGUAAGAAGUGAAAAGCUAAUCGAGCUUGGUAAUAGCUGGUUCUCUCCGAAAUAGCUUUUGGGUUAGCGUCGCGUGUUCCCUUGAGGGGUAGAGCACUGGAAGGACUCGACAGGGAGAAAUCUCGCGAGUCCUAUCAAACUCCGAAUACUCAAGGUCAUAGCGCGGCAGUCAGUCUAUGUGGGCUAAGCUACAUCAGACAAAAGGGAAACAGCCCAGAUCUCUAUUUAAGGUCCCUAAAUUCAUGUUAAGUGCACUGGAGGUGGUGGAGUCUCGAAGACAAUGAGGAGGUUUGCUUAGAAGCAGCCAUCCUUGAAAGAUAGCGUAACAGCUCACUCAUCGAGAGACUCUGCGCCGCAGAUAAGCGGGGCUAAAACAUGGUACCGAAACUGAGGGUUUUUUAUAUCUUCGGAUAUAUAAAGCGGUAGGAGAGUGUUCUUGUCCGCAAUGAAGGGAAAGGCGUGAGCCGUCCUGGAGCGUCAAGAAGCAAGAAUGUUGGCACAAGUAACCACAAUCGGGGUGAAAAACCCCGACGCCGAAAGAUCAAGGUUUCCUUCGCAACGAUUGUCGACGAAGGGUUAGUCGGGCCUAAGGGAAUGACGAAAGUCGGACUCGAUGGACACAUGGUUAAUAUUCCAUGACUUUCGCAUGUAGUGAUGGAGAGACGAAGUGUAGUAUGCAGAACGCAUUAUUGGAUUUGCGUUCAUGCUGUAAGGAAGUUCACCAGGCAAAUCCGGUGACUGGCUUCAAUGCCAAUUCCAAGCUGAGUGAUGCAGCGGAGGGUUCGCCUUCCGCCGAUUCUGCAAAGCACGCUUCCGAGAAAAUCUUCUAAACUUAUACAUGCGAGAACCGUACCGCAAACCGACACAGGUGAUCAGGUCGAGUAGACCAAGGCGAACGAGUGAGAGGUCUUCAAGGAACUCGGCAAAAAAGCAGCCGUAACUUUGGAAUAAGGCUUGCCGUUCUUAAUUUAUUAAGAUCGGCCGCAGCGAAAGUAUCUCUGGCAACUGUUUAUCAAAAACACAGCUCCCUGCGAACUCGCAAGAGGAUGUAUAGGGGGUGACGCCUGACCAAUGCGAGAAGGUCAACUAUCGACGUUGUAUAGUAGCAAUAUUAUAUGGUGAUUGAUAUAAGCCCUCGUGAAUGUCGGCCGUAACUAUAACGGUCCUAAGGUUUUGCAUUUGAGUGCAAACUCGAAUGUAAAACGGACUAGGACAGGUUAUAGAAAAAGAUAAACAAUUAAUAAAAAUUUCAGGAACCAUUUCAGCUACCUAGUAUUAUAGUAAUGUAGUAUUAGUCCAUACUUGAUGAACGAGAGACCAACGUCAAGCAUCCUAAUCUGUAAAGAUGGAUGAAGAUAGAGUCCUUCUUAGGGGUACAGAAGAGCGAAGUACCUUGUCGGGUAAGUUCCGACGCGCACGAAUGGCGUAAUGACUGGAGAACUGUCUCGAAGACCUGCUCGGUGAAAAUACAAUACCGGUGAAGAUGCCGGUUACCUGCAGAU
rnacentral:rRNA from 1 species